rnacentral:rRNA from 1 species
UACGUAGGGGGCAAGCGUUGUCCGGAUUCAUUGGGCGUAAAGAGCUCGUAGGCGGUUCGGCAAGUCGGGUGUGAAAACUCCAGGCUCAACCUGGAGACGCCACCCGAUACUGCUGUGACUUGAGUCCGGUAGGGGACCACGGAAUUCCUGGUGUAGCGGUGAAAUGCGCAGAUAUCAGGAGGAACACCGGUGGCGAAGGCGGUGGUCUGGGCCGGCACUGACGCUGAUGAGCGAAAGCGUGGGGAGCAAACAGG